rnacentral:rRNA from 2 species
CAUGCCGUAAACGUUGGGCGCUAGGUGUGGGGCUCAUUCCACGAGCUCUGUGCCGCAGCUAACGCAUUAAGCGCCCCGCCUGGGGAGUACGGCCGCAAGGCUAAAACUCAAAGGAAUUGACGGGGGCCCGCACAAGCGGCGGAGCAUGCGGAUUAAUUCGAUGCAACGCGAAGAACCUUACCAAGGCUUGACAUGUACCGGAAACAUCUAGAGAUAGGUGCCCCGCAAGGUCGGUACACAGGUGG